rnacentral:rRNA from 1 species
AUGGCCAAGUUCUCCUUCGCCGACGCCGACGCCGACGAAGACCCUCCACCCGCCGCCGCUGGGUCCGACAAGAGGAAGAGGGACGGAAGUCCGGCGCCUGACGACGGCGCGGCCGGUGGAGGGCCGCCCCCCAAGGCCCGGAGACUGGAGGUCGCGGGCGGCGAGCGGGAGGAGAGGGCGGUGGCGGGGUGCGGUCGGGAGGUGGGGAGGGUCGGCGCCGGCGGGGAUGGCAACGCGAUGGGGAUCAGCAUGCGGAUCGACCCGGACCUGCUCGACUGCUCCAUCUGCUUCGAGCCCCUCUGCCCUCCCCUCUACCAGUGCCAAAAUGGCCAUGUAGCAUGCUUGUCCUGCUGGUCCAUGCUCAGCAACAAGUGUCAUGUUUGUUCUCAUGAUGCGAUCUUUGCACGGAACAUUGCACUGGAGAAGAUUGUCGAGUCAAUCAAGUCCUCCUGCGCAUAUGCCAAGUGGGGCUGUUGCGAGUUGGUCAGCUACACGCAAAGAAACACUCAUGAAGAAUCUUGCUUCUUUGCUCCCUUGAUGUGCCCUAUUCCUGGCUGUGGAUACAGAGGCUUCACAGGACGUUGGUCAGGCCACUUCCUCGUCGACCACCACAGUGCCGAUUUCUUGCACUUCGUUUAUGGCCAGUCAUUUGAAGUGAACUUGGAGGCGUCCCUGCCUUUUCUUGUUCUUCUUGGAGAGGACGAUCACCUCUUCCUGCUCCUGAACAAGAACAUGACACCCUUCGGGCAUGCCUUUUCCGUGGUUUGCCUCAGGACAGGCGAUUUGAACUGGAAGUUCUCCUACGAAAUCGAAGCGGCCAGUACGAGAAACCCUGAAAACUGCAUGCAACUCAAGGCCUCUGUCACAAAUGCAAAGGAGUGGGAAGGUCUGCACCCUACAGAAUCCUUUCUUUUGGUUCCAUAUGAUUUCUGCAGUUCUACUAACAUAACACUCAGUGUCUCUGUUGGGAGGUCUGCUUCUGUAUGA